rnacentral:rRNA from 1 species
CCUACGGGUGGCUGCAGUGGGGAAUAUUGCACAAUGGGCGCAAGCCUGAUGCAGCCAUGCCGCGUGUGUGAAGAAGGCCUACGGGUUGUAAAGCACUUUCAGCGGGGAGGAAGGCGGUGAGGUUAAUAACCUCAUCGAUUGACGUUACCCGCAGAAGAAGCACCGGCUAACUCCGUGCCAGCAGCCGCGGUAAUACGGAGGGUGCAAGCGUUAAUCGGAAUUACUGGGCGUAAAGCGCACGCAGGCGGUCUGUCAAGUCGGAUGUGAAAUCCCCGGGCUCAACCUGGGAACUGCAUUCGAAACUGGCAGGCUAGAGUCUUGUAGAGGGGGGUAGAAUUCCAGGUGUAGCGGUGAAAUGCGUAGAGAUCUGGAGGAAUACCGGUGGCGAAGGCGGCCCCCUGGACAAAGACUGACGCUCAGGUGCGAAAGCGUGGGGAGCAAACAGGAUUAGAUACCCUAGUAGUC